CCUACGGGGGGCAGCAGUGGGGAAUAUUGCACAAUGGGGGAAACCCUGAUGCAGCGACGCCGCGUGAGUGAGGAAGUAUUUCGGUAUGUAAAGCUCUAUCAGCAGGGAAGAAAAUGACGGUACCUGACUAAGAAGCCCCGGCUAACUACGUGCCAGCAGCCGCGGUAAUACGUAGGGGGCAAGCGUUAGCCGGAUUUACUGGGUGUAAAGGGAGCGUAGACGGCUAAGCAAGUCAGAAGUGAAAACCCAGGGCUCAACCUUGGGAGGGCUUUUGAAACUGAGUAGCUAGAGUGCAGGAGCGGUAAGCGGAAUUCCUAUGGUAGCGGUGAAUUGCGUAGAUAUUAGGAGGAUCACCAGUGGCGAGGGCGGCUUACUGGACUGUAACUGACGUUGCGGCUCGAAAGCGUGGGGAGCAAACAGGAUUAGAUACCCGAGUAGUC
rnacentral:rRNA from 1 species